GCCCGCCGCUCCCCGCCCCGCCGCUCCCCUCAGGCGUGGCGUGGCGGGCCCGUCCCCUCAGGUGGAGGAGGGCGGUUCCCUUAGGCGCCGCGACCGGUCCCCUCAGCUUCUGACUGGAAAAGAAAUGGAGCCAGGGAGAACAUCUCCUACGCGUGUGGGGAGAAGGCUGGAAAUCCCCCUGCACCUGAUGUUCUCUGCAAGACAUCGCACCAUCCGCCCCAGCUGAGGCUCUGAGUAAAAUAAGAGUGUACCAAGCACAGGACACAGCCUUGGAAACCACAUCUCCGCUGGCUGCUGCACUCGAGCUCCUCUGGUCCCAAGGCUGUAAAAUUGGAAUUGCUUUUCUUUUUUAUUUUCCCCAUUUGCAAUAGGAUUAGGCUUUUUCCCAAAUGUCAUGCAUAAAUAAAGGGAAUCAAAUUGU